CAUGGGCUUGGCUGAUAUAGUGUUAAUAUUUCAACGCUAUGCCGGCUUUUGUAAAAGUAGAACGAAAUCUAUCAAAAUGCCGGCUAGUGGGCAUAAGUGAUUGUGGAAAGAGUGCGGGGCAAAGAGCUCAGAAAGAAGCUAGUUUUUCUGUUGGAAACCAUAAGUGCUGAGUGCAUUUGCAGAGUGACUAGAUCAUCCAGUUCUUUGGCACUUACCUGCGGAUCGAUAAAGCAAAAAUAAUCAUUCUAAGAAUGCCAUAAAAGUUUAUCUUCAUGCGAAAUACACAUACCUAUGGUGGUCA